rnacentral:rRNA from 1 species
AGCGAACGUUAGCGGCGGGCUUAACACAUGCAAGUCGAGCGAGAAAGUGGCUUCGGCCAUCAGUAAAGCGGCGGACGGGUGAGUAACACGUAGGUAAUCUUCCCUUGAGCGGGGGACAACGAGCCGAAAGGCUCGCUAAUACCGCAUAAGUUCCCAGAGUCCUCGGACUUUGGGAGGAAAGCUAGGUCGCAAGAUCCGGCACUCGAGGAGGAGCCUGCGUCGCAUCAGCAGUUGGUGGGGUAAUGGCCUACCAAGGCGAAGACGCGUAGCUGGUCUGAGGAGGA